rnacentral:rRNA from 1 species
GACGAACGCUGGCGGCGUGCUUAACACAUGCAAGUCGAACGAGUGGCGAACGGGUGAGUAAUACGUGAGUAACCUGCCCUCUUUUUGGGAUAAGCCUUGGAAACGGGGUCUAAUACCGGAUAAAGGGGGCUGGGCUCGCGGCCUAUCCGCUUGUUGGUGGGGUCAUGGCCUACCAUGGCGGUGACGGGUAGCCGGCCUGAGAGGGUGACCAGCCAGACUGGAACUGAGGCACGGUGGUGACUCUUACGGGAGGAAGCGGUGGGGAAUAUUGCACAAGGGGCGAAAGCCGGAUGCAGCCAUGCCGCGUGUGUGAAGAAGGCCUUCGGGUGGUAAAGCACUUUCGGCGAGGAGGCGGUACUCGCAGAAGAAGCACCGGCUAACUCCGUGCCAGCAGCCGCGGUAAUAC